UGGAUUGCGCCACUCUCAGUGGGCUGAGCCCUCCUACAACAACUAGCGAUCAAGAACAUGCCCCACAGACAUGCCCACAGUCUAAUCAGACAGAGGCAAAUCCCCAGUGGAGGUUCCCUCUUCCCAGGUAUCUCCAAAAGCAAGUGAGGCCCAGCCAUUUCUUCACUGGCACCACACAUGAGGCUUUCGUACAACAUCACACAUUCCUUCAAAGGACCAUGAAUGAAAGGCUUGGUCACCAGCUUUUGGUGCCACCGGGAGUGACUGGAACCUUUAGGAGGUGGGAUCUAAUGGAGAGGCUGAACUGAACUGGAACCCAGAUGCAGAGAAGGACGAGUGAAGAGCACAGGGGUCCAGACCAGGCUAGUGAAACCCACAGAAACAGCUGACCUGAAUAUCCGGAAACUCUUGCUCCCCAGACUGAUAGCUGGAAUACCAGCAUGGGACUGAUCCAGACCCCAGGAACAUGGAUUUCUGCAUGGUCACCUUCCCUUGAAGUGAGGUGAUGGGUACCAGGAGGCCAAUAAGUUGAUGGAACAAUAAUGAUACCGCUUCUUGUUGUCAUCACUGUAAACUCCGUGAUAAGGGCCCAGAGGAACACGACCCUUGGAAUCUCUGAUGCUGGAAGCCUGGACACUUCCUCUGGCUUUGGCUGGGCUGUCUGCCAGGGUCAGAAAGCAUGCAGCUUCAGCCAGUUCUUGAGGCACGGACUCUGUGAUCUGUUUUCUGACUUACCUUCAUGCAGUAGAAUUAGAAUGCAGUUGCCUCAACCUUUUUGCCCUCCAAAUCCUUAGUCCCUGGCCAAGGAUCACUCACUUGAAC
rnacentral:lncRNA from 1 species